AUUGAACGCUGGCGGCAGGCCUAACACAUGCAAGUCGAGCGAGCGGCGGACGGGUGAGUAAUGUAUGGGGACUGCCCGAUAGAGGGGUAUAACUACUGGAAACGGUGGCUUAUACCGCAUAAUCUCGGAAAACCCAUAUGGGAUGAGCUAGUAGGUGGGGUAAAGGCUCACCUAGGCGACGAUCUCUAGCUGGUCUGAGAGGAUGAUCAGCCACACUGGGACUGAGACACGGCCCAGACUCCUACGGAGGCAGCAGUGGGGAAUAUUGCACAAUGGGCGCAAGCCUGAUGCAGCCAUGCCGCGUGUAUGAAGAAGGCCUUAGGGUUGUAAAGUACUUUCAGCGGGGAGGCGUUACCCGCAGAAGAAGCACCGGCUAACUCCGUGCCAGCAGCCGCGGUAAUUC
rnacentral:rRNA from 1 species